rnacentral:lncRNA from 1 species
GCGAGCUGCACGUUGGAUUACCAACACCCAAACGGCGACACCUACCAAAGAGGCACGCCCACAACUGAACACAAACCCAAAUCCAGACCGAAGCCGUUGCGCGCCCCACCGUGCCCCCGUACACCGCAAGUAUCCAUUCUGGGGCCAAGGGCUCCGCAUGUGAGCAAAGGGCUGCCCGCCGCGGGGCUCCCCACACGGCUGCGGGCUCCCAGGACAGUGAUCCUCACCCGGGCCGCAGGUGACCCCGUUCGGGCACGGAGCAGGCACAUCCCGCGGCCGAAACCCGGCCCUCGCCGCCCGGAUCCCUCCUCAGCGGCGGGCCGAGCAGCGGGUGGGUCCGCCCUCCGCGGCAGCGCCCGAGAAGACGCCCGGCUCCGCCACUCUCUCCACCCCGCACCCUUAGGGACUCCGCCUGCGCUUCGCUCACCGCGGAGACCGGGGUCCUCUUCUUUGGCGCGGAUCUUGCGGAUUUUCAGCGGCCGCCCGCUGAGCGUGGACAGCACCAGCCGCUGCCGUAAGAAGUUGCACCCCGCGAAGCUGAGGCACUGCGCGCCGCCGCCCGCCAUGCCACCGCACUGCCCCGCGGCCGGCGCGCCCACGUGGUUGAGAACAGGAAGCGCUGGGACAGCGGGGGGGCAAAGGGCAGGGGGCGGGGCGGGGGCGGGGCGGGGCGCCGGGACGGCGGCGGACGGGCCGGUGGGAGGGAGGAAGGGGUGGUGCCUGGGGAACCGCGCGUCCGCUCCGUCCCGCCCCGCCGCUGGGACGAAUGUCCGCGCGGUGCUGCCGUGCGGGAUGAGGUGUGGUCCCGCCUGCGGGGCCGUGCCCGGAGACGCGGCUCGAGAGCCGUAAUUUAUUGCUGACCGUCGUAAGGAGAAUUAAUGAAAGAACCACUUGAGACUCCUGCUUUUGGGCUGUCUUUGAGAGAAGGACGGAUUACAGCAUGGGUAACAGAGUUACCCAUGAGAGAAAGCUGGGAUACAUUUAUGCCUAGGUAGGAGGAAGUUUCUUGUGUUACACAGAAAACUAAGAACACACAAAAGUGAUCCCAUAUCCUGUGCUGGAGGGGGCCCUCAAUACAGUGGUGUUUUCCACAAAUAUAUUCCGCUUUGUGUCUCCUCAUGUGCAGAAACUCAUGUUAGCUCUUAUCCCUGGCUAAUACAGUUUGUGCUUUGCUGUGGACAAAGUCAGACUGUUAGCAGGGAGCGGCUGAAGGCUUCCAGGAGCUGAGGAUGAGUGCUGCACAGGCAGGCAGUGCCCUCACUGACCAGAGCACAGAAUAGGUGCCAGGUCCAUUGACAGCAAUCUGUCAGACCCGGGAUCCACCUAGCAGAUCCAGUUAUGAAGAGUAGUGGAUGGGGCUAAAGAUAAACCUGUACCCUAGGUCUGAGGGGCCCAUCCAGGAGGUGGGACAGGACUGCUAUCCCAUCAGGAAGUGCAUCUGGAGAUAUCUAAACCUACAGUGUAGCUGAGGCAAGGAACAAGAGCCCUCAGUACCUGCGCUUAACAGGAGCCAGUGUGUGGGAGGUUGCAGAUGGAGAUGCUGAGGACCAUUAGUGACUGUUGGUGUAUGUUUGACCCCAGCAAUGAUCUUCAGUAUCCUCAGUGAGAAACAUGGGCUGUAGGAAGCAAUGCUCUUUCUGAUUUUCUUGUGUGUUCUCAAUGUAAAUCUUUCCCUAGAGCAAAAUAUUGACAUAUUUCUGUACUCAAUAGAUGUGUUCCUGUUUUGUUUGUGCCUUAAACACCCUCUGGGAGUAUAAGAGCAACUCAAAAGAUAUACUUAGAAAGAUGGCAAAAGUGGAGUUUAAACUUAGUAUUACUACCUGGAUAUUUGGAUGAAUUAAAGAUGAAAUAGCCCCUAAUCUAAACUGAAGCAGCUUUGUGGACGCAGAAUCCCUGUUAUAUAGAGAAAAAUGAAAUCCUGUUUUGUUCUGGAUGUCCUUUCAAUGGUGGACCACGUGCCAUGAGUGUAUAUGGCUACAAACAGAAAAGAUUGGAAUGUUUUUUAUACAAACCAAUAAAACUUCAAUUUCUUUUGAAUAAGUUACUUUC